rnacentral:rRNA from 1 species
ACUAUGGAGAGUUUGAUCCUGGCUCAGGAUGAACGCUAGCGGGAGGCUUAAUACAUGCAAGUUGAGCGGUAAGUUGUUUAUAGUAAUAUAAAUGGCCUAGAGCGGCGCACGGGUGAGUAACGCGUACAUAA